AUGCGGAAAAAAAAAAAAAAAAAAAACGUAGGACUACUGGUAAAACUAGUAAAUAAAUCCUGAGCUUUGUUUGACUUUCUAUCUAUUGGAGAACAGACAACGUUGUUACAUUCACAAAGUCCGAAUCUUAUGGCCACCCACUUAAUGCAAACUAUCCCAAAAACUUUCAUCACUAUGGAUUUUAGGCACAACUAUUUCGUUUGGUUCAAUUCCUUGCAAGAAAAGAGAACCUUCUGACUAGUACUUGUUUAAUUAUUGUUCACAACAAAUAAUAUAGACCUUUGGAUUUUUGUGUUCUGUUUCCAAUCAGAACUUUUACUUUUAUCAGUUCGUCAAGGGGUCUUAUAAUUGUAAUCUCUGUCGCUCUCUCUUUUUAUUUUUCUUAGUUUUGAUGUUUGACCUGAGGUUAGAUUUGUCAGACACCAACAGUUUUUAACACUUUGGAAUAAUAUAAUCCGUUUUCGGUGAUUAUGGGCAUUUGAUUGUUUUUCUUUCGUAGAGUGUAAAUUGGGAUAUGAAAUAUCUCCUUAUUUUUAUAGAUUCUUUUUGAGAAAUAAAAUAAUUAUGAUGGGAAUUUUAAGGGCCUAGGGUUACUUUUUCAUCCUUUGGUUCUCAUUCAGUGCUUGUUUAUGAUUCUACAAGCCGCGGACUCACUUGGGUCGUCGAUAUUACUUGAUUUGCUCGUCCGGGUAGUUGAGAGACCUUUAAUUCCCUUAGGGGUGGGUGAGUUUCUCUGUUGUAUCGUCUCAAGAGGUGAGUUUUCCUUCUCAUCUCAUCUGGGUCUUCGCUGUUUUUUCGAUUUUAGCAGCUUUCGGCAUUGAAAAUUGAGGGGUUUUUACGGUUUACUCAAUCUUUUGAGGGAAAUUUGAUUAAUUUUUCUGAUAUAUCGGUGAUAAGAAUAUAGGGUUUCGUUUAUUUUGGUUCCAGGAUUCUGUAACUAACUAUGGCCAUCUAGUAUUUGGGUGGGUGGCAGGGAUUUGGAUUGUUUGCUUGGUUAGUGUUUUAGAAUCUGCUUGUGGGUCUGGAUUGCGUUUGGGUGGAUUCUUGCUAGAGAGGAAAUUGGUGCUGCUGUGGAGGGUUUAAAUCCAGUGGAUGUCAUAAUUUCGACUUCUAAUCCUUCUGUAAGGAGCCUGUGACUGUGAGGCUUGUGUUGCAAAAGAUAAUUGGUGGUUCUUCUCUCCGAGAAAGGAUACUUGCAUUGUAAUGAUGUUUCAUUCUCAAGGAGCUUCAAAACACACCUGUAGUCUUCUUGCUGCUACCUGUGGGAAAAAUUCGGAAAAACUUAAAAAGGAUGAUGCUGCAGAGGAUAAGCCGAGAUAUCCCUUUCCUGAGUUGGUGUCUUCUGGACGUUUAGAGGUUCAGACUCUGACUAGUCCGAGCAAAGCCGGGUUUUGUAAGAUUCUGGAAUCGUAUAACCCGAGUAUUGUUUACUUGCAAGGAGAGCAAAUUGCAAAUGAUGAAGUUGGGCCUCUUGUGUGGGAAGGUGUUGACAUGUCCACACCCGAAGCUAUAUCUGAGAUCUUUGCCACCACAUUGCCUACCGCUGUUUAUUUGGAAAUCCCAAAUGGAGAAAAAGUAGCAGAGGUGCUUCACUCAAAGGGGAUUCCUUAUGUGAUAUAUUGGAAGAAUUCAAUUUCAUAUUAUGCCGCUUGCCAUUUUCGUCAAGCAUUAUUCUCAGUGGUACAGAGUUCCUCUACUCAUGCAUGGGAUGCUUUCCAACUUGCACGCGCUUCCUUCAGGCUUUACUGUGUAAGAAACAACUAUGUCCUUCCUGCUAACAGCCAGAAGGUUACCGGUGAGCUGGAGCCAUGCAUUCUAGGGGAUCGUUUGAAAAUCAAUGUUGAUCCCCCUGAGAUAGAUGCGGAGGGAGAGGGAGAUGAUGAGAGUUCUUCAGGUGCUCUGCCUGCUAUAAAGAUACAUGAUGAUGAUGUGACCUUGAGGUUUCUUGUUUGUGGAGUGCCUUGCACAUUGGAUGCAUCUCUAUUAGAAUCCUUGGAAGAUGGCCUCAAUGCCCUCCUGAACAUUGAAAUACGUGGGAGCAAACUUCACGGCAAGUUUAGUGCUCCUCCGCCACCCCUUCAGGCAGGGACAUUUUCUCGUGGUGUUGUGACCAUGCGAUGUGAUGUGACAACCUGCAGUUUUGCCCACAUCUCACUUCUGGUGUCUGGUAGUGCGCAAACUUGCUUUGAUGAUCAGCUUCUGGAGAAUCAUAUAAAGAAUGAAAUUAUUGAGAAGAGUCAACUAGUUCAUGCACUUCCUGACAGUGAAGAAAACAAAAUUACAUUCUCAGAGCCUCGUAGAUCUGCUUCAAUUGCCUGUGGGGCAGCAGUAUUUGAAGUUUGCAUGAAGGUCCCUUCAUGGGCUUCACAGGUUUUGAGGCAGUCAGCACCAGAUGUUUCAUAUCGUAGUUUAGUUGCACUAGGCAUUGCCAGCAUUCAGGGAUUGCCUGUUGCUUCUUUUGAGAGAGAUGAUGCCGAGCGUCUACUUUUUUUCUGUCCAAGGCAUGGGAAAGAUACCUGUACAGACAAUUUAAUGUUUAGCAGCCCCCCAAGUUGGUUGAGACCACCUGCUCCUACUCGAAAGAGAUCCGAACCAAGCAAAGAGACUACGCCUGGUUCUCGUAAUGGUGUGUCUAAUAAACGUGAUGUAGAGGACAGGGAUGCCAGAUUGAGGAAUGGGGUUAGCAUGCCCUUACUCCCAGCUCGGAAAAAACUGAAGGUUGCUGCAAUGAGGCCUAUCCCUCAUGUUCAACGCCAUAAAAUGACACCAUUUUCUGGAAUGUCUGAGGCAGAUGGGCAUGAAGGAGGCCAAGUGAAGGCUAAUUUGCCAGUUGUUGCCCCUACAAAGCACAGUAUUGUGGGAUCAACUCCUACAACACAGAGAAGAACAUAUUCAAGCUCAUCACAGGCCAAGCAGAUUAUUUCCUUGAAUCCACUACCUCUGAAGAAACAUGGGUGUGGCAGGAGUCCAAUGCUUACCUGCUCUGAGGAGGAGUUUCUGAAGGAUGUGAUGCAGUUUCUAAUCCUUCGAGGGCACACUCGACUUAUCCCUCAAGGUGGACUUGCUGAGUUUCCAGAUGCCAUACUUAAUGGGAAGCGUCUUGACCUCUUCAACUUGUACAAAGAGGUGGUUACAAGAGGAGGCUUUCACGUUGGCAAUGGUAUCAACUGGAAAGGGCAGAUCUUUUCAAAGAUGCAUAAUUACACAAUGACAAAUAGAAUGACUGGUGUUGGUAAUACGCUAAAAAGACACUAUGAAACUUACCUUCUAGAGUACGAAUUGGCUCAUGACGAUGUAGAUGGAGAGUGUUGCUUGCUAUGCCACAGUAGUGCACCAGGGGAUUGGGUGAAUUGUGGCAUAUGUGGUGAGUGGGCCCACUUUGGCUGUGACAGAAGGCAGGGUCUUGGUGCUUUUAAGGAUUAUGCAAAAACAGAUGGGCUGGAAUACAUAUGUCCACAUUGUAGCAUUACAAAUUUCAAGAAGAAACCACAGAAAGUCGGAAAUGGAUAUUCCCAAGGCUUGAUGGUAUCACGACCACUGUGAUUCAGUUUUAUAUUCCCUUCUUCUUCUCCUCUUCUCUUCUCUCUCUCUCUCUCUCUCUCUCUCUCUCUCUCUCUCUCUCUCACACACACACACACACACACACACACACACACAAAACUGUGAUGUCAAUUUUUUUUUUUUAAUUGGUAUGACUGGAAUUUAUCUUAAUUUCCACUUUGGUGGCUGAUGAAGUCUUCGUUUAUUUGUUCAUGCUUUUGAACAACUAAUUAAUUUGUGGAAGUCACUGGGCAGUCUGAGCAACUGUCUUAGGAUGUGCAUGGGUUGUCUCAGUAUCUUAUUGUGCAUUAUGGGAGUUUCCCUGCUAGACUUUUUAAUAUGUACUUUUUCAUGAUAUCUCUGUAUAAUUAUGUGUGGUCAUUUAAGGAUCCAAGGCUAUAAAAUCUGUGGAACUGAAUGGGCAAGCCGA